rnacentral:tRNA from 1 species
GACAAUGUGACAUAGUGGUUUGAGUAUUGGACUAUGCCUCUGGAGGCCAAGGUUCAAUUCCCAGCUUGGCCA